UGCUGGUGUGUGGGUGUGUGUUGCUCGAAGGAUUUCAAGGACCAGAACAGGAUUGCUGCUCUCUGAACAGUUUGAAAUUAUUUCCUCUGGGGGUGCCAAUGGAGACCUGAAGAAGAGAUACUGCAUGACUUACCCUGGCACCUAUUCUUGUCCUCCUCCACCUCUUUGUCAACACAGAUGAUACCUGACUGCUCAUCCUUGAAAGUGGUGCUGAUAUUUUACACAUACUGGGAAAGCCUUCCUGUCUCUUAGUUUCCAGCAUAAGCAAGAAUGUUUUGGUCCGGAGCUCCUUUGGAAAUCUGCCAGAUGAAAAUGGAUAAGGCAUUUAUUUGCCUCCUUCAGUGAUACACAUAACGCUUUGGGAGCACUCCUGUAAAACAUUUUAACUGGAAGAUCUAUGAAAAUAACUUAGAUGGCUCUGUCAGGUCUGUCAAAUAGCUGUCUGUCUUCUUGCUUUCCCUUCCAUAACUGUCUUAUACAGUAAGGCAUUCUGCUACGUUCCUCACGUUUUCCUGUUGUGAACAAUUUUCUUCAUGUUCUGCUGUCACUGUUGACAAGCAACCAACGGUAACUAUGAUAGUGGGCU